rnacentral:tRNA from 1 species
GCCUGGUUGGCUCAGUCGGUUAAGCAUCCGACUUCAGCUCAGGACACGAUCUCGCGGUCCGUGAGUUCGAGCCCCACGUCGGGCU